rnacentral:rRNA from 1 species
GAGCAAGCUUAAGCCGUUAGGUGUAGGCGCAGCGAAAGCGAGUCUGAACAGGGCGGCUAAGUUCGACGUAUGACGACCCGAAACCAGGUGAUCUAUCCAUGAGCAGGAUGAAGGUUGGGUAACACCAACUGGAGGUCCGAACCCGUGAAUGUUGAAAAAUUCUGGGAUGACUUGUGGAUAGGGGUGAAAGGCCAAUCAAACCUGGACAUAGCUGGUUCUCCGCGAAAUCUAUUUAGGUAGAGCGUCCGACGAAUACCCUGGGGGGUAGAGCACUGGAUGGAUGCGGGCUGCGCGAGCGGUACCAAUUCUAACCAAACUCCGAAUACCCAGGAGUACUAUCGGGCAGACACACGGCGGGUGCUAACGUCCGUCGUGAAAAGGGAAACAACCCUAACCAUCAUCUAAGGCCCCCAAGUAACGGCUAAGUGGGAAACGAUGUGGGAUUGCUUUGACAAUCAGGAGGUUGGCUUAGAAGCAGCCAUCCUUUAAAGAAAGCGUAACAGCUCACUGAUCAAGCGAUCCUGCGCGGAAAAUGUAACGGGGCUCAAGCCGUUCGCCGAAGGUAUGGGCGCACGUAAGUGCGCGGUAGCGGAGCGUUCCGUAAGCCGGUGAAGGUCAAUCGCGAGGUUGGCUGGAGGUAUCGGAAGUGAGAAUGCUGACAUGAGUAACGAUAACAGUGUGAGAAACACUGUCGCCGAAAGACCAAGGGUUCCUGCGUAAAGCUAAUCUGCGCAGGGUUAGUCGGCCCCUAAGGCGAGGCUGAAAAGCGUAGUCGAUGGGAAGCAGGUAAAUAUUCCUGCACCAGCUGGAAGUGACGGAUGGCAUAAGUCGUCGGGGCUUAUUGGAUUGUUCCCGGCGGUGGCGUUGUCCCUGGAAAUAACUCCAGCAGAGACCGUACCCGAAACCGACACAGGUGGUCAGGUAGAGUAUACCAAGGCGUUUGAGAGAACUGUGCUGAAGGAACUCGGCAAAUUGCACGCGUAACUUCGGAAUAAGCGUGACUCACCCUGGGCAACCAGGAAUGAGUGGCACAAGCCAGGGGGUAGCGACUGUUUAGCAAAAACACAGGGCUCUGCGAAGCAGCAAUGCGACGUAUAGGGUCUGACGCCUGCCCGGUGCCUGAAGGUUAAAGGGAGGAGUGCAAGCUCCGAACUGAAGCCCAGGUAAACGGCGGCCGUAACUAUAACGGUCCUAAGGUAGCGAAAUUCCUUGUCGGGUAAGUUCCGACCUGCACGAAUGGCGUAACGACUUCCCCACUGUCUCCAGCACAGGCUCAGUGAAAUUGAAUUCCCCGUGAAGAUGCGGGGUUCCCGCGGUCAGACGGAAAGACCCUAUGAACCUUUACUAUAGCUUCGCCUUGGCGUUAGCGACCGUAUGUGUAGGAUAGGUGGGAGGCUAUGAAGCCGGGGCGCCAGCUCUGGUGGAGCCAUCCUUGAAAUACCACCCUUACUGUCGUUGACGUCUAACCGAGGGCCGUUAUCCGGUCCCGGGACAUGGCGUGGUGGGUAGUUUGACUGGGGCGGUCGCCUCCCAAAGUGUAACGGAGGCGCGCGAUGGUUAGCUCAGACCGGUCGGAAAUCGGUCGUCGAGUGCAAUGGCAUAAGCUAGCCUGACUGCGAGACUGACAAGUCGAGCAGAGACGAAAGUCGGCCAUAGUGAUCCGGUGGUCCCGCGUGGAAGGGCCAUCGCUCAACGGAUAAAAGGUACGCCGGGGAUAACAGGCUGAUGACCCCCAAGAGUCCAUAUCGACGGGGUUGUUUGGCACCUCGAUGUCGGCUCAUCACAUCCUGGGGCUGGAGCAGGUCCCAAGGGUAUGGCUGUUCGCCAUUUAAAGUGGUACGUGAGCUGGGUUCAGAACGUCGUGAGACAGUUUGGUCCCUAUCUGCCGUGGGUGUUCGAAGCUUGAGAGGAUCUGUCCCUAGUACGAGAGGACCGGGAUGGACAUACCUCUGGUGGACCUGUCAUGGCGCCAGCUGUGCAGCAGGGUAGCUAAGUAUGGAAUAGAUAACCGCUGAAAGCAUCUAAGCGGGAAACUAACCUCAAAACAAGGCUUCGCUGAGGAUCGUGGAAGACUACCACGUUGAUAGGCC